GGGUUGUGAGGUUAAGCGACUAAGCGUACACGGUGGAUGCCCUGGCAGUCAGAGGCGAUGAAGGACGUGCUAAUCUGCGAAAAGCGACGGUAAGGUGAUAUGAACCGCUACAGCCGUCGAUGUCCGAAUGGGGAAACCCGGUGCACUCUGUGCAUCAUCGUUUGAUGAAUACAUAGUCAAACGAGGCGAACCGGGGGAACUGAAACAUCUAAGUACCCCGAGGAAAAGAAAUCAACCGAGAUUCCCCCAGUAGCGGCGAGCGAACGGGGAGCAGCCCAGGACCUGAAUCAGCUUGUGCAUCAGUGGAAGCGUCUGGAAAGUCGCGCGAUACCGGGUGACAGCCCCGUACACGAAGAUGCAUGAG
rnacentral:rRNA from 1 species